rnacentral:lncRNA from 1 species
GUGCCACGUCAGGAACUCCUUCUUGUAGCUUUUUAAAUUUCUCCCCUUCCGUUGGAUUUUAACAUUCUUUAAUGAAUGGUCUCAUUCGCAAAUUCAGGUUUUCAUCAAUUAUUCUCUUCUUUUACCCUAAAACAGGAUGUUUUUUGGCUGUGCCCCUGGGACGGCAAAGUUCCCAGAUCAGGGAUCAAACCCACACCAUAGAAGCAACCCAAGCCACUGCAGUGACAACAGUGGAUCCUUAAAUUGCUGGGCCAAAAGAGAAUUCUGAACUCCGAGUUAAUUAGGAAAAUCUGACUGUCAGCCUUGCAGUUUCACCAACCAUUUUUUUGAGUGUCAUCAAUGACCUUUUCCUUUACUCUUUGAUCCUGCUUUACUUUUCUUGCAGCAACUGAUAAGCUAAAACCAUGCUUCUCUAAGCCCACUUCCUGUCUAAAUGACAGUAACCCUUGGGGUUCAGUCCUAAACCUUUCUAUACUGUUUUGCUUGUUUGUUUUUUAAUGACUACCCCUGUGGCAUAUGGAAGUUCCCAGGCUAGGGGGUACAGCAGAGCUGCAGCUGAGACCUACAGUAGAGAUCAUGGCAACACCAGAUCCUUCACCCGCUGAUCAAGGCUGCAUCCUCAUGGAUACUAGUUAGGUUCUUCACCUGAUGAGCCACAAAGGGAGCUCCGGCACAAUUUUUUAUUUAAAAUCUUAGUACAAAAAUCACUAACUUUCUGAAUUCAGUUAAUGUCCUCGAUAGAGAGAAAUUAUGCUAUAGUAGCAAGGAGCAUCAAUGUAAAUCCAAUAAAUACAUUUUAUCAAUAAGACAGUUCCUAUUUUAUAAAAUAUCCUUAUAUACUACUAGUAAAACAAUUAAAAUUCCUUUUCAGUAUGACAGGAAUUAGAAGACUGACUUACCACACUUGCACUUGGCGGGUUUCUAUGAAGCUGUUCAAUUUCGCCCACGUGCUUUUUGUUCGUCACUUUUAAGUUGGCAGAUUCAAUUUCAAGGCUAAAAUGGGUAUUUUACAAUAAUUAUUUGCACACAUAGAUUUUAAAAAUACCUCACAAUUUGUAAACCAACAUCUACAGAGUCAUUUAUAUAAGUUCUAAAGUUUUGAAAAGUAGAUGAUUUGGCAAUCGUGCCAAUUUUCGAGUUGUGUUUUGUGGAUAAUGUGAAAAAUUCAGAAAUAAUGGGGAAGUACAUUGCAUUCCAAAACACCCCAAAACUGAAUUUUUUACCCAGCUUCACAAUGAUGCAUUCUUUAUUAUCAUUCCUGAUAUAAUUCUUAUACUAUACUGCUUAUCUGCUUUAUACUUAUACUCAAAGUUAUUCUCUGUGCUGCUCUACUGUACUUUUGCAUGUGAUCCUUCAUCUUCUCGGUAGACUUCAUGGCCUCUAUAUGUAGUUCUUGUGCUUCUUGCAACUAAAAUAAAGAAAACGAAGUUGUGUCUUACCUACAAAUACACCUUCACCCAUUUCUGUCUUUUAUGACUCCUUUUUUGUGCCAUAAGAAUGGAGCUGAACUGUUAUGACAGAGACCCUAUGGCCCACAAAGCCUGAAAUAUUUGCCAUCUGGUCCUUUACAAGUUACUGACCUCUCCUCUAGUACUAAAACACAACAUUAUUCAUGCUUUAAAUUAUAUUUUAUCAAAUGCAUAUACUCACUGAUAAACUGGCCAAAGGGGAAAAGACAGAAUUACCUUAGAGUAAACAAUUAUAUUUUGGUCUUCCAAGUUCCAUAUCAACUACAACAUUAAAUAUCCACAUAUGUGAGUGACCAUGGCCAGUCCAGGGAUUAUGAAAGUCUUGUGGACUAGUUAGAGAGACAGUAUCUACACAGCAGCCAGGAUGUGUGGUUCUCAGUCCCAACCCCACCCAUUAUUAGCCGUGUGCCCUUGAGCAUACCACUUACAUUUUCUGUCUCAGUUUCUCCAUCUGUAAAAUGGACAUAAUAAUAGCAUCUACCUCACUGGGAUGUUGGGAAGCUUAAACUGGGGAAUACACAUCAUGUCCUUAGAAGAGCAGGUGGCACAUAGGAAGUGCUAAGUGUUUGCAAUCAGCAUUACAACUGUUGCUCUGGUGUAUGUUCUAAACAAUUUAAUGUUUCGGCAGAGAGCAUGCCAAUGGACACGGUCUUCUCCACAAGUCACGUGGAAAUCCCCCUUCACACCAUUCAAAGUGGCAGACAAUGGGGAGCCUGAGGCCCAGAGCAGAUGCCCAGAACUUCAAAAACUUACACUAAUUCCACCAACCCACUACUAUUUUUUUCCACUUAUAAUAAUUUAUAACUUACUUCCUCUCUGUCCUACUCACUGGUCAGUGACCAUGGACUACGAUGCAAAGAGCAUCUUGAUUGAGUAGUACUGACUGAUAGUACAUGACUGUUAGAGGAAACGUUAAUUCAUUGGCAUGGAUAUUUCCCAAAGUUUUGAACCAAUUUAUUCCCAGCAACUGUUUAUGUCCGGCUGCUCUAGCAAGUACUCAGGUGAGAAAAUUAAGGUUAUGGCCUAUCAAAAUCAGAAUUGCCACCCCCAGAGCUGUACAAUUGGUGGAGUUCAAAAUCAGAAUUGCUACCCCCAGAGCAUUACAAUGGUGAAAUUCUCUCAAUCUGUAAAUCCCAGUUUGGGCUGCAUAAUGAAGGAAAGCAAAUUAGAAUUUUUCUUUCAUAGUGAGGGAGAAAAAUUAGCAUUUAAUUGAGCAAUUCUUCUCUAUUAGAUUAAGUGCUUUUGAUUUUAUAUUUCAUGCUUAAAAAAAUUUAACAAAAGUUUCAUUAUAUCUUAUCUCCAAGAAGGAAUUAUUGGUAUGGCAUUAAGUACUUUAUCCUAAUAACUGUUAGGAUAAAAUAUGUUCAAUUUAUGCAAGGACAGGUGCCAUGCAUAUCCUGUAACAUUCCCUGAAAGACAAAUGUAUACUAAGACAAGAUUAUCACUCAUGACAACACAUUAAAGCAGUGUGACAUGAAAGGCUAAAUUGUCCUGCACAGAGCAGAUGACAAGGGCCGAAGAGGACAGGGUGAACGAUGGAAAAAACAAGCUUUCUGCAGAAGGAGAGACUGGGAGCAGGUCCACACAAAUGGAGGACUAGGCGAGAGGAAAAGAAACUUAAAAGACAGAAAGGACAGCACAAGGAAAGGCCAGGAACAGGUGAAAUCAGCCAGUUCACUGAGAGGAUAAAAUCCAACAGCAGGGAAAUUAUCCACACAGGUCCACACCCUAACUUGAAAAUGAAUGUUUACAGUGGCAUUCUUUAUAGCCCCAAAGUGGAAGCACACAAAGGCCCAUCAACGGAUGAAGGGAUCAAUGUUUUAACUAUAUAGCAGAGUAUUGCUCAACAAUGAAUGAAGUGGAAGUGCUGAUAAUGGUCCGUAACAUGGUAAAAUUUUGAAAACUUUAUGGUCAAAUGCAAAAAACUAAUCAUGAAGGACCACAUACCAUGUGAUUCCAGUUAUAUGCAACACCCGGAAUGGGCACAUCUGUGGAGAAAUUAGCCUGGUACCUGCUUGGUGCUGAGGGAGGUGGGGAGCUGUGGGUGAUCACUAAGGGAUGCAGGGCUUCUUUUUGGGGUGAUGGAAACAUGCUAAAUUUGAUUGUUGUGAUAGUAGCAUAACCCUCUAAAAUAGGAAAUACCAAAAUAUACAAUUUAGAUGGGUGAAUUAUAGAUACAUGAAUUAUGUCUCUGAAGUUUUUAAAAAAAUCCAAUGGCAGGAUCUAGAUAAUUUUCUUAAUUCUCUCUUUUGGGAGCACAUGCCACACAAGAUCUGAAUAUCUCCCUAUUUCAAAAACAGAGCUAAAUUGAAAAGAAAAGAAAGGCAAAGCCUAAUUUCAACUGGUUUGUAGAAUGACCUCUCUGCACAAGUUAAUCUGAAAUCAACAAAAUAAAUAUACACAGAUGCCAUACCCUUCACCAAAGUGAAGGUAAGAAAUUACAAUUUUUUCCAAUCAUGCCAUUAAACAUUCUCCUCUGAUUUUAUCUGGCUUGUCUGAUCAUCGUUGUAGAGAUAUCACUAAAAAGUACUGUUUAACAGAAAAAGCAAAGUCUCUCAACUUCUCUGAGGAGUGUGCAUCACUGUCUACUUUCCGAAGGGGAAACAGAAUAAGAAAAAUAUAGCAUACAAAGAGCAGAAUAAAAGCAGUGUUUAAGAAAUAAGUGUGUAAUUAAGAUAAUAAAAUUGAAAUAAAAUAAUUGUAACGAAAAUACAAAAGAAAGCUGUCCAUGGGAAUUAGUAUCCUAAAGCAUUUUAUGUCUUCAUUAACAUUUAACAAUCUCAUACAUACUCGACUUGUGAUUUGACGUAGCUUCUUCUUUAAAUCCUGUGUCUCAUCCUCUAAUUUAGCAUGAUCAGGCGACAUCAGCUCCAAUAAAGCCUCAGACAGGGACUGCUUUGUUAGAGAAUCAGCCAGUUCUUGUUGAAGUUGUCCCACAACCACCUAGUAAGAUACUCUGUCACUGGUUUUAUCAAUCACCUUAUUAUUAGUUACAUUAGUAACAGUAAACUCCAAUACAUGUACUUUGAAAACUAUCCCCACAGACAUCAAUUUGCCUUCUCCUUUCCUUCACAUGCACACCUUCCAGCUCACUGAAUUUGGUUAAAGUUACAGCAGAUGUUACCCUCCUGCCUUAUCGAUGUUAAGUUAUUAGAGGACAGAUUCAGGCCUGCUACCCACUCCCCCAACCCCACCAAUGAAUUUGCAGAGCUCUACUAACUCCUGAAGUCUCAUAAAGAAAUGGAGGUGAAAAAAAAAAAAA